rnacentral:rRNA from 1 species
AUACGUGGUUUCAUGGUUCCUGCUGCCAGCGAUGCAUCCUGGUUCGCCUAUGGCCUGCUGGGCAUUCUGGGGCUGCCCGAGGCGCUGGAAAACUUCUCUGCUAAUGCUACUGUAAAGAUGCUGUACUGGGGCUUACUCCCUGCAGAUGCCUGUUCUCUGCUAUGUAGGAUGGCAUUUUCCUUCUGGAUGAUAACAUAGCCUGGGGGCAAUAAGCGCAGCAGGGCUAAGAAUUGGCUGUUAGCCUGCCGCGGUUAAUACCUAGCUUUUUGAGAUGGCUAGGGAUGAUUAUUGGGCCUUAAAGCGUUCGUAGCCUGGCAUUAGCAAGACUCCAUGAUUAAACAUCAGCGACCUUAAUCGAUUGAAUCGCGGGAGAAACUUACUUAGGCUAGGAGGCGGGAGAGGCCGACGGUACUUUCGGGGUUAGGGGUUGAAAUUUUAUAAGUUCCGAGGAGGACCACCAGUGGCCGAAGGCAUGCGGCAUAGAACGCUGCUUUGACGGUGAGGGACGAAAGCUGGGGGAGCGAACCGGAGUUAGAUUACCCGGGUAGUCCCAGCUGUAAACGAUGCGGGCUAGGUGUUGGGGUGGCUACAGCCACUUCAGUGCCCUAGGGAAGCCAUUAAGCCCUCCUCCUGGGGAGUACGGUGCAAGG